UGGGGAAUAUUGCACAAUGGGGGAAACCCUGAUGCAGCGACGCCGCGUGAGCGAAGAAGUAUUUCGGUAUGUAAAGCUCUAUCAGCAGGGAAGAAAAUGACGGUACCUGAGUAAGAAGCCCCGGCUAACUACGUGCCAGCAGCCGCGGUAAUACGUAGGGGGCAAGCGUUAUCCGGAUUUACUGGGUGUAAAGGGGGCGUAGACGGCGUAGCAAGUCUGAAGUGAAAGGCUGGGGCUCAACCCCGGGACUGCUUUGGAAACUGUUUUUCUAGAGUGUCGGAGAGGUAAGUGGAAUUCCUAGUGUAGCGGUGAAAUGCGUAGAUAUUAGGAGGAACACCAGUGGCGAAGGCGGCUUACUGGACGAUGACUGACGUUGAGGCUCGAAAGCGUGGGGAGCAAACAGGAUUAGAUACCC
rnacentral:rRNA from 1 species